GGAUGAACGCUGGCGGCGUGCUUAACACAUGCAAGUCGAACGAUGAAGCCCAGCUUGCUGGGUGGAUUAGUGGCGAACGGGUGAGUAACACGUGAGUAACCUGCCCCCGACUCUGGGAUAAGCCCGGGAAACUGGGUCUAAUACCGGAUAUUACCUUUGACCGCAUGGUUGUUGGUGGAAAGAUUUAUCGGUGGGGGAUGGACUCGCGGCCUAUCAGCUUGUUGGUGAGGUAAUGGCUCACCAAGGCGACGACGGGUAGCCGGCCUGAGAGGGUGACCGGCCACACUGGGACUGAGACACGGCCCAGACUCCUACGGGAGGCAGCAGUGGGGAAUAUUGCACAAUGGGCGAAAGCCUGAUGCAGCGACGCCGCGUGAGGGAUGACGGCCUUCGGGUUGUAAACCUCUUUCAGUAGGGAAGAAGCGAAAGUGACGGUA
rnacentral:rRNA from 1 species